CACUCAGCCCCCUGGUGCCACCAAGGCCAGAGCAACUACAGAUCUCGCCUGUCCAGGGCUCCCACAGCAGGGACAGCGAGCAGCAGAGUGUUCGAGAGCCUGUGGUUUGCCAGAUUGUUCCUCCCUUUUUUGAAAAUCUGCAGGAGAACCCCAACUGGCACCGUCGUAUUCGACCUCUCUGUGCAGGACUACAAACUGGUGGAUCCCCAAGUCUUCCCAGCUUGUCCUGGUGCUUCCCCAGUGAUCUCAUGGUGGGAUGUGCCCAGAACAGCUGCCCUGAGAUUUGACAAGACUCAAUCAGGGGUUCGACUUGUGCCUGCACAGAGUCGGUCAAAGGCUUAAGUGUCUUCUCGAUGCUGGAGGUCAGGGGCUUCAGGUUCUCCUGGAGCUUAUCUGCUAGAGGCUGCAGGUGGACUUUUCCUUGCUCAAGG